AGUGAACGCUGGCGGUAGGCCUAACACAUGCAAGUCGAACGGCAGCACAGUAAGAGCUUGCUCUUACGGGUGGCGAGUGGCGGACGGGUGAGGAAUACAUCGGAAUCUACUUUUUCGUGGGGGAUAACGUAGGGAAACUUACGCUAAUACCGCAUACGACCUACGGGUGAAAGCAGGGGAUCUUCGGACCUUGCGCGAUUGAAUGAGCCGAUGUCGGAUUAGCUAGUUGGCGGGCUAAAGGCCCACCAAGGCGACGAUCCGUAGCUGGUCUGAGAGGAUGAUCAGCCACACUGGAACUGAGACACGGUCCAGACUCCUACGGGAGGCAGCAGUGGGGAAUAUUGGACAAUGGGCGCAAGCCUGAUCCAGCCAUACCGCGUGGGUGAAGAAGGCCUUCGGGUUGUAAAGCCCUUUUGUUGGGAAAGAAAAGCAGCAGGUUAAUACCCCGCUGUUCUGACGGUACCCAAAGAAUAAGCACCGGCUAACUUCGUG
rnacentral:rRNA from 1 species